CCAGUUUUGCUCCAAGGACCAAUCUGGCGUAUAGACCGUACCCUAAACCGACACAGGUGGACUGGUAGAGCAUACCAAGGCGCUUGAGAGAACGAUGCUGAAGGAACUAGGCAAAUUACUCGCGUAACUUCGGGAUAAGCGAGACCCGUCCUUGGGCAACCAUGGGCGGGUGGCACAGACCAGGGGGUGGCGACUGUUUAGUAAAAACACAGGGCUCUGCGAAGUCGAGAGACGACGUAUAGGGUCUGACGCCUGCCCGGUGCCGGAAGGUUAAGAGGAGGUGUGCAAGCACCGAAUUGAAGCCCCGGUAAACGGCGGCCGUAACCAUAACGGUCCUAAGGUAGCGAAAUUCCUUGUCGGGUAAGUUCCGACCUGCACGAAUGGCGUAACGACUUCCCCACUGUCUCCAGCAUCGGCUCAGCGAAAUUGAAUUCCCCGUGAAGAUGCGGGGUACCCGCGGUCAGACGGAAAGACCCUAUGAACCUUUACUGCAGCUUUGCAGUGGCAUUAGGAGAGGGCUGUGUAGGAUAGGUGGGAGGCUUUGAAGCCUGGGCGCUAGCUCGGGUGGAGCCAACCUUGAAAUACCACCCUGACCUCUUCUGAUGUCUAACCGCGGUCGGUCAUCCCGAUCCGGGACCCUGCAUGGUGGGCAGUUUGACUGGGGCGGUCGCCUCCCAAAAUGUAACGGAGGCGCGCGAUGGUGGGCUCAGGCCGGUCGGACAUCGGCUGCUGAGUGCAAUGGCAUAAGCCCGCCUGACUGCGAGAGUGACAGCUCGAGCAGAGACGAAAGUCGGCCAUAGUGAUCCGGUGGUCCCGCGUGGAAGGGCCAUCGCUCAACGGAUAAAAGGUACUCUAGGGAUAACAGGCUGAUCUCCCCCAAGAGUCCACAUCGACGGGGAGGUUUGGCACCUCGAUGUCGGCUCAUCACAUCCUGGGGCUGGAGCAGGUCCCAAGGGUUCGGCUGUUCGCCGAUUAAAGUGGUACGUGAGCUGGGUUUAGAACGUCGUGAGACAGUUCGGUCCCUAUCUGCCGUGGGUGUUGGAGACUUGAGAGGAGCUGUCCCUAGUACGAGAGGACCGGGAUGGACAUACCUCUGGUGAACCGGUUGUCGCGCCAGCGGCACGGCCGGGUAGCUACGUAUGGACGAGAUAACCGCUGAAAGCAUCUAAGCGGGAAACUUACCUCAAAACCAGGUCUCCCUGAGGGCCGUGAUAGACCAUCACGUCGAUAGGCCAGAUGUAUAAGGGCGGCAACGCUCUCAGCUAACUGGUCCUAAUCGCCAA
rnacentral:rRNA from 1 species